rnacentral:rRNA from 1 species
AACGAACGCUGGCGGCAGGCUUAACACAUGCAAGUCGAGCGCCCCGCAAGGGGAGCGGCAGACGGGUGAGUAACGCGUGGGAAUCUACCCAUCUCUACGGAAUAACGCAUGGAAACGUGUGCUAAUACCGUAUACGUCCUUCGGGAGAAAGAUUUAUCGGAGAUGGAUGAGCCCUCGUUGGAUUAGCUAGUUGGUGGGGUAAAGGCCUACCAAGGCGACGAUCCAUAGCUGGUCUGAGAGGAUGAUCAGCCACACUGGGACUGAGACACGGCCCAGACCCCUACGGGAGGCAGCAGUGGGGAAUAUUGGACAAUGGGCGCAAGCCUGAUCCAGCCAUGCCGCGUGAGUGAUGAAGGCCCUAGGGUUGUAAAGCUCUUUCACCGGUGAAGAUAAUGACGGUAACCGGAGAAGAAGCCCCGGCUAACUUCGUGCCAGCCGCCGCCGUAAUAC